GAAGCCCCGAGCGUUGUCGGAAUCAUUGGGCGUAAAGGGUGCGUAGGCGGCGCGGAAAGUCCGGCGUGAAAGGCAGGGGCUCAACCUCUGGACUGCGUUGGAUACUUCCGUGCUUGAGGACUGGAGGGGAGACUGGAAUUCACGGUGUAGCAGUGAAAUGCGUAGAUAUCGUGAGGAAGACCGGUGGCGAAGGCGAGUCUCUGGACAGAUCCUGACGCUGAGGCACGAAGGCUGGGGGAGCGAACAGGAUUAGAUACCCUGGUAGUCCCAGCAGUAAACGAUGUGAGCUUGAUGUGGGGGGAUUCGACCCCUUCCGUGUCGAAGCUAACGCGAUAAGCUCACCGCCUGAGGAGUACGGCCGCAAGGCUAAAACUCAAAGAAAUUGACGGGGACCCGCACAAGCGGUGGAGUAUGUGGCUUAAUUCGAUGCAACGCGAAGAACCUUACCUGGCCUUGACAUGCAUUGUGUCGUCGGUGAAAGCCGGCUAGUCCUGGAAACAGGACGCUUUGCACAGGUGCUGCAUGGCUGUCGUCAGCUCGUGUCGUGAGAUGUUGGGUUAAGUCCCGCAACGAGCGCAACCCUUGUGGUCAGUUACUAACCGGCUUAGCCGGAGGACUCUGGCCAGACUGCCCUGUCAAACGGGGAGGAAGGUGGGGACGACGUCAAGUCAGUAUGGCCCUUAUGGCCAGGGCUGCACACGUACUACAAUGCCCGGUACAAUGUGAACCGAAACCGCGAGGUGGAGGAAAUCGCUCUUGAAAACCGGGCCCAGUUCGGAUUGGAGUCUGCAACUCGACUCCAUGAAGUCGGAAUCGCUAGUAAUGGCGUAUCAGCAACGACGCCGUGAAUACGUUCCCGGGUCUUGUACACACCGCCCGUCACAUCAUGGAAGUCUCCUGUACCCGAAGCACGUGCGCCAACCUUUCAGGAGGCAGCGUUCGAAGGUAUGGGAGUAACUGGGAUGAAGUC
rnacentral:rRNA from 1 species